rnacentral:rRNA from 2 species
UUAAGCGACUAAGCGUACACGGUGGAUGCCCUGGCAGUCAGAGGCGAUGAAGGACGUGCUAAUCUGCGAUAAGCGUCGGUAAGGUGAUAUGAACCGUUAUAACCGGCGAUUUCCGAAUGGGGAAACCCAGUGUGUUUCGACACACUAUCAUUAACUGAAUCCAUAGGUUAAUGAGGCGAACCGGGGGAACUGAAACAUCUAAGUACCCCGAGGAAAAGAAAUCAACCGAGAUUCCCCCAGUAGCGGCGAGCGAACGGGGAGCAGCCCAGAGCCUGAAUCAGUGUGUGUGUUAGUGGAAGCGUCUGGAAAGGCGCGCGAUACAGGGUGACAGCCCCGUACACAAAAAUGCACAUGCUGUGAGCUCGAUGAGUAGGGCGGGACACGUGGUAUCCUGUCUGAAUAUGGGGGGACCAUCCUCCAAGGCUAAAUACUCCUGACUGACCGAUAGUGAACCAGUACCGUGAGGGAAAGGCGAAAAGAACCCCGGCGAGGGGAGUGAAAAAGAACCUGAAACCGUGUACGUACAAGCAGUGGGAGCCUCUUUAUGGGGUGACUGCGUACCUUUUGUAUAAUGGGUCAGCGACUUAUAUUCUGUAGCAAGGUUAACCGAAUAGGGGAGCCGAAGGGAAACCGAGUCUUAACUGGGCGUUAAGUUGCAGGGUAUAGACCCGAAACCCGGUGAUCUAGCCAUGGGCAGGUUGAAGGUUGGGUAACACUAACUGGAGGACCGAACCGACUAAUGUUGAAAAAUUAGCGGAUGACUUGUGGCUGGGGGUGAAAGGCCAAUCAAACCGGGAGAUAGCUGGUUCUCCCCGAAAGCUAUUUAGGUAGCGCCUCGUGAAUUCAUCUCCGGGGGUAGAGCACUGUUUCGGCAAGGGGGUCAUCCCGACUUACCAACCCGAUGCAAACUGCGAAUACCGGAGAAUGUUAUCACGGGAGACACACGGCGGGUGCUAACGUCCGUCGUGAAGAGGGAAACAACCCAGACCGCCAGCUAAGGUCCCAAAGUCAUGGUUAAGUGGGAAACGAUGUGGGAAGGCCCAGACAGCCAGGAUGUUGGCUUAGAAGCAGCCAUCAUUUAAAGAAAGCGUAAUAGCUCACUGGUCGAGUCGGCCUGCGCGGAAGAUGUAACGGGGCUAAACCAUGCACCGAAGCUGCGGCAGCGACGCUUAUGCGUUGUUGGGUAGGGGAGCGUUCUGUAAGCCUGUGAAGGUGUGCUGUGAGGCAUGCUGGAGGUAUCAGAAGUGCGAAUGCUGACAUAAGUAACGAUAAAGCGGGUGAAAAGCCCGCUCGCCGGAAGACCAAGGGUUCCUGUCCAACGUUAAUCGGGGCAGGGUGAGUCGACCCCUAAGGCGAGGCCGAAAGGCGUAGUCGAUGGGAAACAGGUUAAUAUUCCUGUACUUGGUGUUACUGCGAAGGGGGACGGAGAAGGCUAUGUUGGCCGGGCGACGGUUGUCCCGGUUUAAGCGUGUAGGCUGAUUUUCCAGGCAAAUCCGGAAAAUCAAGGCUGAGGCGUGAUGACGAGGCACUACGGUGCUGAAGCAACAAAUGCCCUGCUUCCAGGAAAAGCCUCUAAGCAUCAGGUAACAUCAAAUCGUACCCCAAACCGACACAGGUGGUCAGGUAGAGAAUACCAAGGCGCUUGAGAGAACUCGGGUGAAGGAACUAGGCAAAAUGGUGCCGUAACUUCGGGAGAAGGCACGCUGAUAUGUAGGUGAAGUCCCUCGCGGAUGGAGCUGAAAUCAGUCGAAGAUACCAGCUGGCUGCAACUGUUUAUUAAAAACACAGCACUGUGCAAACACGAAAGUGGACGUAUACGGUGUGACGCCUGCCCGGUGCCGGAAGGUUAAUUGAUGGGGUCAGCGCAAGCGAAGCUCUUGAUCGAAGCCCCGGUAAACGGCGGCCGUAACUAUAACGGUCCUAAGGUAGCGAAAUUCCUUGUCGGGUAAGUUCCGACCUGCACGAAUGGCGUAAUGAUGGCCAGGCUGUCUCCACCCGAGACUCAGUGAAAUUGAACUCGCUGUGAAGAUGCAGUGUACCCGCGGCAAGACGGAAAGACCCCGUGAACCUUUACUAUAGCUUGACACUGAACAUUGAGCCUUGAUGUGUAGGAUAGGUGGGAGGCUUAGAAGUGUGGACGCCAGUCUGCAUGGAGCCGGCCUUGAAAUACCACCCUUUAAUGUUUGAUGUUCUAACGUGGACCCGUAAUCCGGGUUGCGGACAGUGUCUGGUGGGUAGUUUGACUGGGGCGGUCUCCUCCUAAAGAGUAACGGAGGAGCACGAAGGUUGGCUAAUCCUGGUCGGACAUCAGGAGGUUAGUGCAAUGGCAUAAGCCAGCUUGACUGCGAGCGUGACGGCGCGAGCAGGUGCGAAAGCAGGUCAUAGUGAUCCGGUGGUUCUGAAUGGAAGGGCCAUCGCUCAACGGAUAAAAGGUACUCCGGGGAUAACAGGCUGAUACCGCCCAAGAGUUCAUAUCGACGGCGGUGUUUGGCACCUCGAUGUCGGCUCAUCACAUCCUGGGGCUGAAGUAGGUCCCAAGGGUAUGGCUGUUCGCCAUUUAAAGUGGUACGCGAGCUGGGUUUAGAACGUCGUGAGACAGUUCGGUCCCUAUCUGCCGUGGGCGCUGGAGAACUGAGGGGGGCUGCUCCUAGUACGAGAGGACCGGAGUGGACGCAUCACUGGUGUUCGGGUUGUCAUGCCAAUGGCACUGCCCGGUAGCUAAAUGCGGAAGAGAUAAGUGCUGAAAGCAUCUAAGCACGAAACUUGCCCCGAGAUGAGUUCUCCCUGACUCCUUGAGAGUCCUGAAGGAACGUUGAAGACGACGACGUUGAUAGGCCGGGUGUGUAAGCGCAGCGAUGCGUUGAGCUAACCGGUACUAAUGAACCGUGAGGCUUAACCUU